GCUCACCUCAUUCUCAACCUCACCAAUCAACAUCAAUCACAGAGCGUCCGAAAGGAGGGAUUUUCAUUUUCCUUUAAAGUGAAAAGGUGGCAGCUGCUGCCCAGCUCUCUGGCCGGUGCCUCUUAGAUGGUGUCACCAUCUGCAGAAGAAAACAGAAGUGCUGACUGAUAUUUGGUGAAGGCCUGCUAUGCCGGCGGCACCUGAUGCAGCAGGUGAAGUCCGGGGGGCAGCGGCCAAGGCUCCCUGUCCCUCAGUGUCCCUGCCCGUGAAACGGGCAUAGCUAACUCCUGUGGCCACCUUGAGGGUAGGAUGCUUCCUGCAGGUGCUUGGACCGGUAUCUGGCAUGGGGCGGGUGCUCAGUGAAAGUUCCUUGUUAAUCCCUGCACUUUUCACCAUUGGAAGUAACUCAGGACAUUGGUUUGGUGGUUCCACAAGCACUGUGGGAGAAGGUGGUGUAUCUGUUCAUCCUGGGUCCCAGUGGCUGAGGCAGAGCCAGCUGUGCAGGAGGCAGGCGUCCAAUAUGUAUAUUGGAUGGAAGAUUAAGUUGCAUAAUAAAAUAUAUUAAAGAUU